UACGUAGGGUGCGAGCGUUAAUCGGAAUUACUGGGCGUAAAGGGGGCGCAGGCGGUCUCGUAAGCUGGGUGUGAAAGCCCCGGGCUUAACCUGGGAAUGGCAUUCAGGACUGCGAGGCUUUGAGUGUGGCAGAGGGAGGUGGAAUUCCACGUGUAGCAGUGAAAUGCGUAGAGAUGUGGAGGAACACCGAUGGCGAAGGCAGCCUCCUGGGCCAGCACUGACGCUCAUGCACGAAAGCGUGGGGAGCAAACAGG
rnacentral:rRNA from 1 species